ACCUCGGUGGUGUAGUGGUAGCACGCGCUCCCGGUAUAAGUGAAAGGCAGAUUCAAUUCCUGCCUGGAGUC